rnacentral:rRNA from 1 species
GCGAAAACUCCACAAUGUACGUAAGUACGAUGGGGUUAUCUCGAGUGCAGUCCGAUAAGGGUUGCUUUUCCAUAGAGUAAUAUCCUGUGGGAAUAAGAGGGGGGCAAGACUGGUGUCAGCCGCCGCGGUAACACCAGCCCCUCGAGUGGUGGGGACUUUUAUUUGGCCUAAAGCGUCCGUAGCUGGCUGUGUAAGUUUUCCGGUAAAUCCGGCGUCCUAAGCGUCGGGCUUCGGGAAAUACUAUACAGCUAGAGGGUGGGAUAGGUGAGCGGUAUUUCUGGGGUAGGGGCGAAAUCCUUUGAUCCCAGGAGGACCACCAGUGGCGAAGGCUGCUUACUAGAACACGCCUGACGGUCAGGGACGAAAGCUGGGGCAGCGAACCGGAUUAGAUACCCGGGUAGUCCCAGCUGUAAACGAUGCUAGCUAGGUGUUGGGUCGGCCACGCGCCGCCCCAGUGCCGCAGGGAAGCCUUUAAGCUAGCCGCCUGGGGAGUACGGCCGCAAGGCUGAAACU